rnacentral:rRNA from 1 species
CCUACGGGCGGCUGCAGUGGGGAAUAUUGCACAAUGGGCGCAAGCCUGAUGCAGCCAUGCCGCGUGUGUGAAGAAGGCCUUCGGGUUGUAAAGCACUUUCAGCGGGGAGGAAGGCGGUGAGGUUAAUAACCUCAUCGAUUGACGUUACCCGCAGAAGAAGCACCGGCUAACUCCGUGCACAGCAGCCGCGGUAAUACGGAGGGUGCAAGCGUUAAUCGGAAUUACUGGGCGUAAAGCGCACGCAGGCGGUCUGUCAAGUCGGAUGUGAAAUCCCCGGGCUCAACCUGGGAACUGCAUUCGAAACUGGCAGGCUAGAGUCUUGUAGAGGGGGGUAGAAGUCCAGGUGUAGCGGUGAAAUGCGUAGAGAUCUGGAGGAAUACCGGUGGCGAAGGCGGCCCCCUGGACAAAGGCUGACGCUCAGGUGCGAAAGCGUGGGGAGCAAACAGGAUUAGAUACCCUAGUAGUC